AUGGAUGAAGCUAGGCGUGCUGUGUUUGAUUCUCCAAAUGACAAGGCACCAGGGCCGGACGGGUUCACGGGUGCGUUCUUCAGAGCAUGCUGGGAUAUUAUCAAGGUGGAUAUCAUGGCCACCAUUUACCACUUCUCCGAUCUCCAUGCCUCAAACUUCCAUUGGCUGAAGUCCGCCAACAUAAUGUUCAUUCCUAGGAAAGAUGGUUCUGAAGAUAUUUCUGAAUUUAGGACUAUCAGUUUGAUCCAUGCCGUCGCUAAGCUUAUUGCCAAGAUGAUGGUGUCCCGCCUCUUGGUUUAUAUGGAUGAACUUAUUUCACAAGCCAAAGUGCUUUCAAAAAAAAGUAUUCACGACAACUUCACUUAUGUUCGCAACCUGGCUAGAAGAUUCCACAUGAGUAAAACCCCCAAGUUGCUCUUCAAGCUCGAUAUCAAGAAAGCCUUUGACUCGGUUCGUUGGGACUACUUAAUGGAUGUCCCACAGCAUCUCGGCUUCCCGACACAUUUCCGAGGUUGGGUCUCCACACUCCUUUCACCGGCUUCCUCAAGAGUCUUGCUAAAUGGCACUGUUGGAGACCCUAUACAUCAUGGAAAGGGAUUACAGCAAGGGGACCCAUUGUUCUAUUUGUGCUCGCCAUCGAUCCUUUGCACCACAUCAUGA
rnacentral:rRNA from 1 species